rnacentral:rRNA from 1 species
UACGUAGGCAGCAAGCGUUGUUCGGAAUUACUGGGCGUAAAGAGUGUGUAGGCGGUGCUCCAAGUCUGGUGUGAAAUCUCCCGGCUCAACUGGGAGGGUGCGCUAGAAACUGGAAUGCUAGAGGAUGGGAGAGGUAAGCGGAAUUCCUGGUGUAGCGGUGAAAUGCGUAGAUAUCAGGAGGAACACCUGUGGUGUAGACAGCUUACUGGACCAUUUCUGACGCUGAGACACGAAAGCGUGGGUAGCAGACAGG